rnacentral:rRNA from 1 species
GUAGGUGAACCUGCGGAAGGAUCAUUGUCGAUACCUGCCCAGCAGAGAGACCCGUGAACACGUUGCCAUCGAUCGGGGUGAGGGGGUAUGGGGGUGUGAGCCCCCUGCCCCCCGAUCCCCGUAAAGGUCGGCCCGCGAACCUCCGUGGGAUCCGACCUAUAACACAACCACCGGCGCGGUUGGCGCCAAGGAACUCACAACGGAAUGGGCGUUGCCAUCACCACGCCCUAGGAGUGGUGUGUGCCGUCUUCGAUCCGAAUCUCACGAACGACUCUCGGCAACGGAUAUCUCGGCUCUCGCAUCGAUGAAGAACGUAGCGAAAUGCGAUACUUGGUGUGAAUUGCAGAAUCCCGUGAACCAUCGAGUCUUUGAACGCAAGUUGCGCCCUAGGCCAUCGGGCUGAGGGCACGCCUGCCUGGGCGUCACGUACCGUGUUUCCCGCCUCCGUCGCCCCCUGGGGCGGUGGAGUGCGGGUUGGAUAUUGGCCCCCCGUGCCCACUUUUGAGGUGCGGUCGGCCCAAACGCAAGUCCCCCCGUGUGGCGACCGUCACGACGAGUGGUGGUCGAAGCCGCUUUGCCACUGUUCGGACGUCGUGUGCGGUUUUCGCUCUCGCGGGCGGGUUACGUAGUAGAACCCCGAUCACAUGCCCGUCUCGCGACGGCAUUUCGACAGCGACCCCAGGUCAGGCGGGGCUACCCGCUGAG